rnacentral:lncRNA from 1 species
UUAAAGAUAGGACGCUUUUAUUUGUUGUCUAAUAAUAACUAAUCAUUAUGGUGGUCUUGCUCAAUCAAUUUUCUUAGUUCUCUUGUUUGCUAAGUUGGGAGCUUUUCUCAAAAUUUUCCCAGGAUAAAAAAGAUUUCAUCAUUGUUUCAGGUAGGUGAAGAUCAGUUUGGUCAUAACUCAUAUACUAGCUGAUGAGUUAAAAAAGAAGCGUGUUAAUAAUUCAGGUAUCUGUUUUGAUCCCAAAGGCAAGGACAGCCUUGGCCUCCUGUCAACUUAAGAUCAGAUGGUGAGGGUGAGCUCAUGUUUCCAAGUGCUGAAAAUGCUCCUUACUGAAGAAGAGCUAGCCAAAUAUCUCAUACAGAAGGUAAAUAAUUUCUUUUAUGCAAAAUCGAUUUGAUCUUCAAGAACACACAAACUAACGAUGCAACUGUACUAUUAAAAUUAAGGAUCUACAACUUAGAGAUAAGCCUAACCUCCCCGUUGUCAGAAAUUUUUCUUGUUUUUACAGUUUUGAGGUCGGAGAUACUCUAGCAAUUGAACAAGAGCCAAGCAAGAAAGUCAAUAUCCAUGAUGCUUAAGAUUUUCUUUCGUUAUACAGUUGUUCCAUAAAUAUGAAAGCAGCUAAACUUGUGCUUAACUUCAUAAAGAAAGGAACUUAUUAAUUAAGAGUGUCAAUCAAAGGAAAAUAUAAUACACAUCCCAGUACAAAUCAUCUCAGAAGUGAUCAAAAGUUCCAUCAGCUGUGCCCAAGAGACAUAUGUCUUAUUAGUUGCUUGAUAAAAAAUUCACAAUUAUUUAGCAGGAAGACCAUUUUCACAAUUGGUUAUAUACCCUUAACAGCAGAAAGACCAAAAGAUUGUUCACCUAUUAAUUCUGUAAGGGACGCCUUAUUCUGCACUCGGGUGGUCCGAUGAAUAAUUCAGUCUCCACAUCUGAUUUUUCACUACUCUCUGUACAAAGAGCUUCACCUUCCUUUUCUCCACUUGAGCCUUCUCUCUGUGGAAGGCCACCAAACUAAAACAAGGCACGAGAGAAUUACUACUUGCCUUUAUUAUGAUUUUAUACUCGACUAUGAGCUAUUGAGUCGAAAGAGGACUUAAACUAAGGAAAAGAAAAAUAUACCUUCUCCCUCAGUAUUGCAUUUUCAGAAGCAAGGAUUUUCUCCUGGAUUUGUUAGACAGGAAAGCAGUACAUUAACUAGUAAAGCAGCUAUUGACGGACAGAGACAAUGACAUGCAACAAUAAAGUCAUGCCAUACAUAAGUAGUUUCGGCUUUGCAAUUUGAGUUAUCUUGAAUUGACUAUGUAAAUGAUUGCAUUAUGCAUAAAUUGUAACUCAAAUAAUUGUAUACCUUCAUGGGAAUUGCAGCUCAAAAUAAAUUAAUAACUGUGGGGUUACCUUUUCUUUUAGUUGUUCAAUUUGUUCCUUAAAAACUUGAAUCUGAAAAGAACAAGCAAAGUAAAUUAUAUGAUAAGUUUGCAAGACUUCAUAAGAACAGAUCAUUUCUUGGACUUAUAUGAAGAAACCUUUCGUGCUCGGAUGGUACUGACACUCCGCUCCAACUGUUUUUCUAUCUGUUGUAGUUCUCCAAGGGUACAGGACUGCAGACCUUCUCCUAAGAGUUUCCUGAUACAAACUCCACUUGUUUUAGAAGACUUUCAAACUUACAGGAAAGGGAGAGAAAUGACAAUGAAACAACAAUGCAACAACUUUUGGAUUGGGGUUUGUUGAACCUUUUAGAUUCUUCAAGGAGCUCUAUCUUCUUCAUCAAACUUGCUGCCUCAUGCUGCAUUAUUGU